GGACUAAUAUGUCGGUCGUACUUUGUACGUACUAGCAUUAUUGGUUUCUCCCUUCUGACGAACCACGAUGUCAUUAAUUUGGUGUCAUGGGAAAUCAGGACUGUUACUUUGAAAAAAUUAGAGUGUUUAAAGCAAGCUCGCGCUUGAAUACAUUAGCAUGGAAUAAUGAAAUAGGACGUUUGAUUCUAUUUUGUUGGUUUCUAGGAUCGACGUAAUGAUUAA
rnacentral:rRNA from 1 species